AGAACGAACGCUGGUAGCGUGGAUUAGGCAUGCAAGUCGAACGGGAUCACCUGAUUAGUAAUAACCGGGUGUGAGAGUGGCGGAUUGGGGAGGAACACGUGAGCAACCUGCCCUUGAGUUGGGGAAAACCGUUGGAAACGACGGCUAAUACCGGAUGUGGCGCCUGGCGACAUCGCUGGAGCGCUAAAGGGGGCCGCAAGGCUCUCGCUCGAGGAGGGGCUCGCGCACCAUCAGCUUGUUGGCGGGGUAACGGCCCACCAAGGCCUACGGUUAGCUGGUCUGAGAGGAUGACCAGCCCCACUGGGACUGAGAUACUGCCCAGACUCCUACGGGAGGCUGCAGUCGAGGAUCAUUUGCAAUGGGCGAAAGCCUGACAAUGCGACGCUGCGUGGAGGAUGAAGGCCUUCGGGUUGUAAACUCCUGUCAUGGGGGAACAGGCGAGGGGAGCUAAUACCUCCCUUAGUUGAGUGUACCCCAAGAGGAAGGGACGGCUAACUCUGUGCCAGCCGCCGC
rnacentral:rRNA from 1 species